AAGUGUAUAGAAACAUGUUCAACCUCAUAGAUAGAUGGUUUAAGCAGCGGCACAUUUUGUUAUACACAUACAUUGUUACUUAGAGAUUUCCCUGUACACUUUAGAAUAUCUCUAUCCUCUGAACAUUUUUGGCUGCACUACUGAAACCAAUUGUGGCCAGACAAAACUUAAAGCACCUCCACCUACAAGGCAAUUCGAUAUAAAUUCUCUCAGUGCACAUGGCAAAACAUAGGUACAACUACAACAACAACCUUUGGUGUUAGAGCUUCGGGAAGAAAAAGCACAUCAGAUAUGCGAUAUCAGUAAAAAAUCAAUUAUGACUCGGGCGGUCGUCCCUAUCCAUCAAUCUGAUGCCCCCUGGAACACGGUCGGCGACUUUGCACUCAUCCAACUAGACUUCUUCGCAGGAAUACGACGGGUUCCUAACAACAUCACUCGUAUAUCUAAAUUCCUAAUAUGAAAUUUAAUUUGGAACCAUCCGAAAGAAAUAGCAAUUUCUUACA